UGUACUUGGGUUCAGGUCCUCACGCUGCC
rnacentral:piRNA from 1 species